UGGUCAAGUUAUUAAGGGUGCAGGGCGGAUGCCUUGGCACUAGGAGCCGAUGAAGGACGUGAUAAGCUGCGAUAAGCUUCGGGGAGUUGCACGUAAACUUUGAUCCGAAGAUUUCCGAAUGAGGAAACUCACUUAGAGUAAUGUCUAAGUAUCAUUAAGUGAAUACAUAGCUUAAUGAGGGGAACUCAGGGAACUGAAACAUCUAAGUACCUGAAGGAAGAGAAAGA
rnacentral:rRNA from 1 species